rnacentral:rRNA from 1 species
AACGAACGCUGGCGGCAGGCUUAACACAUGCAAGUCGAGCGCUCACUUCGGUGGGAGCGGCGGACGGGUUAGUAACGCGUGGGAACGUACCCUUUAGUAAGGAAUAGCCACUGGAAACGGUGAGUAAUACCUUAUACGCCCUUCGGGGGAAAGAUUUAUCGCUAAAGGAUCGGCCCGCGUUAGAUUAGAUAGUUGGUGGGGUAAUGGCCUACCAAGUCUACGAUCUAUAGCCGGUUUUAGAGGAUGAUCAGCAACACUGGGACUGAGACACGGCCCAG